GAUGAACGCUGGCGGCGUGCCUAAUACAUGCAAGUCGAGCGAAAAGAUGAGGCGCUUGCUCCUCUGACGUUAGCGGCGGACGGGUGUGUAACACGUGGAUAACCUCCCUAUAAGACUGGUAUAAUUUCGGGAAAGCGGAUCUAAUCCCGGAUAAUAUAUUGAACCGCAUGGGUCGAUAGUAAAAGACGGCUUUGCUGUCACGUCUCGAUGCAUCCGCGCCGCAUUAGCUAGUUGGUAAGGUCACAGCGUACCAAGGCGACGCUGCGUAGGCGACCUGAGAGGGUGAGUGGCCACACUGGGAGUGAGACAGGCUCCAGACGCCUACGGGAGGGAGCAGGAGGGAAUCGGCCGCAAUGGGCGGAAGCUUGACGGCGCAACGCCGAGGGAGGGAGGAAGAUCUUCGGAUCGUAAAACUCGGUUAUUAGGGAGGAACAAAUGUGUGAGUAUGUAUGCACGUCUUGACGGUACCUAAGCAGAGAGGCACGGCUAACUAAGUG
rnacentral:rRNA from 1 species